GGUGUCCUGUGUCAGGGCCACAGCCCGGGAGCACGUGGCGGUCAGAGAGGAGCGGAGGCAGUGGUCCAGAGGGUGGAGGUGAGCCCCAGCCUCCCUGACCCCCAGGCUCCCCUGGCUCCAGCCCUAAGGUGCUCUCCCAGCCGUCCGACCUGGAUCUCCAAGACGUAGAGGAAGUGGAGAUCGGCAGAGACACCUUCUGGCCCGGUGAGUGAGUAGAAUCGGGUUACUGGGGGACCAGAGCUCUGCGCGUGCCAGGCUCCUCACAAUGCCCACCUCUGUGGCACCCCCAAUGCUGGCACCACCCCCUUCCUGGGGCCCCUUUUCUUCCCUGGCACCAGCUCACCUCUGCCCCAUGGCCCCUCCCCCACUCUAAUGCCAGUCCAGUUACUGAUGCUUCCCGAGGCGGUGACUGCAGCCCACAGCCACCUGCGCCAGUGGCCCCACGUGGACUCCUGCCGGCCCCAGCUGGACAAAGUGAAUCAGAAACGCCUCCCUCCCCUCCACCUGCCUUGGGCUGGGGCUUCUGGCUCAGGGCACCACUGUCCCCCCAGAUCCACGAGUUAUCCUGUGUCCUCUCCUCCUCCUGCAUCCCCUAGAUGGCCUCCCCUCAGCCUGGCUGGAGCUGUGUCCAGGUCCCCUGCACCUCCCCCUUGAGAAGCUCCCAGGGUUCCCUCUGGGCGAUGUUAGUGAUAUGGCUGGAUUUAACAGUGCUGAGCCCUCGCCCACAUCUGGGCGGCCCUGGGGUGGGGAGCAGGUGUCUGAGGUCAGGUCCCUGGAAAGAGACCCUGGGCCAGAGAUUUGCGUGGGAAGCUCCUGGGGUGGGCAUGGGAGCUGGGCGGCAGCGCACUUGCCACCGAGGCCUGGGGCAGCCCCGUGAGGAGCUGUGCCCAUACGGACCACAUCCUCGGCAAGGGCUUUGAGGCGCCCUCUGGAGCUCUGGCGUCCCCCAGGUUCCGGGUCCUCACCAACACUUAGUGCUUCCUCCUGGCUAAGGGUGACCCCACGGUCUGUCUUGCCACUGUGGCUCCGUGCACCGGCACGGCCGCCGUGGUGACUGUGGAUGGUCCCAGCAGCUCUGGGUCACCCUGCAACGCCCCCCACCCCUGUGUCUAUGUCAGCUCUCCCGGGCACAGCACUCCGAGCCACUGUCCGCUUGUCUCCCAUCCACUGGGUGCCUGGCCCCUCCUUGUCCCCUCUAAGCCCCCCUAUCCAGCUCUGCUCUCACUCCCCGUCCCCGUCCCUCCGUGCCACGGUGGGGGCAUGCGGGUACUAUCCGCCUCUGCCGUUUCUCAUUUCAGACUCCGAGCCCAAGCCGGAGCAGGCUCCACGCUCUCCUGGCUCUCAGGCCCCUGACGAGGGGGCGGGCGGGGCGCUGCGCAGCCUCCUGAGGAGCCUUCCCCGCAGGGCCCGGUGCAGCGCCGGCUUCGGGCCUGAAUCCAGCGCGGAGCGGCCGGCGGGCCAGCCGCCUGGGGCCGUCCCUUGCGCUCAGCCGCGGGGCGCCUGGCGCGUGACGCUCGUGCAGCAAGCAGCGGCCGGGCCCGAGGGUGCGCCCGAGCGGGCUGCCGAGCUGGGAGUCAACUUCGGUCGGAGCCGGCAGGGCAGCGCGCGGGGGGCCAAGCCGCACAGGUGCGAGGCCUGCGGCAAGAGUUUCAAGUAUAACUCGCUGCUCCUGAAGCACCAGCGCAUCCACACGGGCGAGAAGCCCUACGCCUGCCACGAGUGCGGCAAGCGCUUCCGCGGCUGGUCGGGCUUCAUCCAGCACCACCGCAUCCACACGGGCGAGAAGCCCUACGAGUGCGGCCAGUGCGGCCGCGCCUUCAGCCACAGCUCGCACUUCACGCAGCACCUGCGCAUCCACAACGGCGAGAAGCCCUACAAGUGCGGCGAGUGCGGCCAGGCCUUCAGCCAGAGCUCCAACCUGGUGCGCCACCAGCGGCUGCACACGGGUGAGAAGCCCUACGCCUGCAGCCAGUGCGGCAAGGCCUUCAUCUGGAGCUCCGUGCUCAUCGAGCACCAGCGCAUCCACACUGGCGAGAAGCCCUACGAGUGCGCCGACUGCGGCAAAGCCUUCCGCGGCCGCUCGCACUUCUUCCGGCACCUGCGGACCCACACGGGCGAGAAGCCCUUCGCGUGUGGCGCCUGCGGCAAGGCCUUCGGCCAGAGCUCCCAGCUCAUCCAGCACCAGCGGGUGCACUACCGCGAGUAGCCGGGCGGGGGCUCGGGGCUCGGCCUCCUACCUGCCCCCAACCCGCCCUCCACCCCGUCCCCCACGGUGGGCACUGCCCAGCACCGCAUGCCACGUGUCCGGAAUAAAUUUUUUAGUUGUUGGAA
rnacentral:sRNA from 1 species